CUGAUCUUGUUUCUGCGGA
rnacentral:miRNA from 1 species